rnacentral:tRNA from 1 species
UACGGAGUAGCCAAAUCGGGUAAGGCAACUGUCUCUGAAACAGUCUAUUGCAGGUUCGAGUCCUGCCUCCGUAG